ACGAGAAGCUUGGGGAGAAGAGCGAAUUAGAGCUUUACCUGGUCUUUGGGAGAUCCGGCUCAUCAGCGGCGACGGUUGCGCGUUGAAAUCGACAGGCUAAGCAGUAUAAAAAGGAAGCCAAAGUUCAUCGUUUUUUAUCAUCAAUUGGCCCGGACCAAUUCAGGAGGCGGUUCUAAGCUUCCCCACAGCGGUAAUAUUUUUGGUCCGGCGGAGAUUUCCGGUGGACGGAAACCGUUUCUAGGCAGCUCUGGUUUGGCGGCGUGGUGGCAGCUCUAUACAGAGUCUGGGCACAGCAUAUUAAUCGCAGCAGAUUAGCAAUUGGCACAUCACGAUUCUGUCAACAUAAAUGUUCGUUGGCUGGGUUUUCCAAGGGCAUCCAAACACAGCCUAAGUUAUGAUGUGCUCAUGCGUCCACCUAGGCGCCGCUUAGGCGCAAGGGGCUGCCCGGGCACCCGAUUAGUACCUAGCGCCUACUGCAACAU